rnacentral:rRNA from 1 species
GAGACUUGAUAUAGGAGGAGUCUGCGGCACAUUAGCUAGUAGGUGAGGUAAGAGCUCACCUAGGCGACGAUGUGUAGCCGGUCUGAGAGGAUGAACGGCCACAAUGGAACUGAGACACGGUCCAUACUCCUACGGGAGGCAGCAGUGGGGAAUAUUGCACAAUGGGGGAAACCCUGAUGCAGCAACGCCGCGUGAGUGAAGAAGGUUUUCGGAUUGUAAAGCUCUGUUAGCAGGGAAGAGGAAGGACGGUACCUGCAGAGGAAGCCACGGCUAACUACGUGCCAGCAGCCGCGGUAAUACGUAGGUGGCAAGCGUUGUUCGGAAUAACUGGGCGUAAAGGAUGCGUAGGCGGUUGAGUAAGUUAUGUGUUAAAUAUAUAGGCUUAACCUGUAGAAAGCACAUAAAACUGUUUAACUAGAGUGCAGGAGAGGUAAGUGGAAUUCCUAGUGUAGCGGUGAAAUGCGUAGAGAUUAGGAAGAACACCAGUGGCGAAGGCGACUUACUGGACUGUAACUGACGCUGAGGCAUGAGAGCAUGGGGAGCAAACAGGAUUAGAUACCCUGGUAGUCCAUGCUGUAAACGAUGGGUACUAGGUGUGGGUUGUGAAUAACAAUCCGUGCCGUCGCAAACGCAAUAA